rnacentral:rRNA from 1 species
CUACGGAGGGUGCGAGCGUUAAUCGGAAUUACUGGGCGUAAAGCGUACGUAGGCGGUUGGUUAAGUUAGAUGUGAAAGCCCCGGGCUUAACCUGGGAACUGCAUUUAAAACUGGCGAACUAGAGUGGAGUAGAGGGGAGUGGAAUUUCAGGUGUAGCGGUGAAAUGCGUAGAGAUCUGAAGGAACACCAGUGGCGAAGGCGACUCCCUGGACUCGAACUGACGCUGAGGUACGAAAGCGUGGGUAGCAAACGGGAUUAGAAACCCCAGUAGUCC